GUGGCUAUAGCUCAGUUGGUAGAGCCCCGGAUUGUGAUUCCGGCUGUCGUGGGUUCGAGCCCCAUUAGCCACCCCA
rnacentral:tRNA from 1 species